GGGAUAAUGCGAACUGUUGCAAACUACUACAAACUUAUGUAUUGCGGACUCUUAAUCCGUAGGUCGACAGUUCGAAUCUGUCGCGCCCCACCA
rnacentral:tRNA from 1 species